CUCCAACUGACUAGUCCAAAAUAGGACAAAACACGUGUCCUGCAU
rnacentral:hammerhead_ribozyme from 1 species